GGGAUGAACGCUGGCGGCGUGCUUAACACAUGCAAGUCGAACGGUGAAAGAGGAGCUUGCUCCUCUGGAUCAGUGGCGAACGGGUGAGUAACACGUGAGUAACCUGCCCUUGACUCUGGGAUAAGCGUUGGAAACGACGUCUAAUACCGGAUACGACCUCCGAAGGCAUCUUCUGGAAGUGGAAAGAAUUUCGGUCAAGGAUGGACUCGCGGCCUAUCAGCUAGUUGGUGAGGUAACGGCCCACCAAGGCGACGACGGGUA
rnacentral:rRNA from 1 species